rnacentral:ncRNA from 1 species
CGUUCUCGGGGCGGGGUGCAAUUCCCCACCGGCGGUAAUGGAGUUAACUCCUCAGCCCGCGAGCGCUCUACCCGUGUUAUCGGUCGAGGUCAGCAGAUCUGGUGUAAUUCCAGAGCCGACGGUGAUAGUCCGGAUAAGAGAGAAC